AUUGAACGCUGGCGGCAGGCCUAACACAUGCAAGUCGAACGAGUGGCGGACGGGUGAGUAAUGUCUGGGAAACUGCCCGAUGGAUGGGGAUACCUACUGGAAACGGUAGCUAAUACCGCAUACCAUCGGAUGUGCCCAGAUUGGAGUAGCUAGUAGGUGGGGUAACGGAUCACCUAGGCGACGAUCCCUAGCUGGUCUUAGAGGAUGACCGGCCACACGGGAACUGAUACACGGUCCAGACUCCUACGGGAGGCAGCAGUGGGGAAUAUUGCGCAAUGGGCGCAAGCCUGAUGCAGCCAUGCCGCGUGUAUGAAGAAGGCCUUCGGGUUGUAAAGUACUGUCAGCGAGGAGGCGUUAUUCGCAGAAGAAGCACCGGCUAACUCCGUGCCAGCAGCCGCGGUAAUUC
rnacentral:rRNA from 1 species